CCAGUUUAUUCCAGUCAAAUUGGGACAUCUGGUUACUUUUAUCAUGUAUCACAUCCUCUGUCUCUGGUCCUCAGGUCAUUUGCCCCGUCAGAAUUCUUCCCCACUGGGAAGGGUGCUGACUUUUGGCUCAAGUCCAUCCCUUUUCACAGGGCUCCUGGAAACCCUGAUGAGUGAAAACAAAGCAGCAAUCUUUGGACAUCACCAUUCUAAGCACAUGACAGGAUGCUGGGUUCUAGUGUUGCAAUGGCAUUUCAGAUUGGGUGGAAGACACUAAAACAAUGCCCACAUCCAGCACCAUGAGUCAGCAACAUUUAUGGGGCACACACCCAGUGCAAGGCCCUUUGUCAGCUACUGAGGAGAGACCCAGAGAGAAAACAGGAGGACACCAAGCUCUGUUUACUGUUUCACAAGGGACCGUCACUUGCUUGGUCCUGUUGACUCCAUCUGUCAGAAUCAACUUCCAUUCAGAAGUCUCCUUGCUGAGCUCCGUCAAUUACAUCAAUGAAGCACCGGUUCAAACAUCAAAGGGAGCCUCCACGAACUGAGCAGCAACUUCCAGAAUUUUCAAUUAAAUAAAGAAGUUGAGGCUGUCAUGAACAUAAAAAGGUGAAGUGACUUUUUAGAACAACAUUCUUUCCAAACAGCCCUGUUCAGAUUGAUUACUCACAUGGAGUAGAAAAGCUCACCAAACUAAAGACUAAUAAACUGUGGUUACUUGAGACCGGUG
rnacentral:lncRNA from 1 species